rnacentral:rRNA from 1 species
GACGAACGCUGGCGGCGUGCUUAACACAUGCAAGUCGAACGCCCCGCAAGGGGAGUGGCAGACGGGUGAGUAACACGUGGGAACGUACCCUUUGGUUCGGAAUAACUUGGGGAAACUCAAGCUAAUACCGGAUAAGCCCUUAUGGGGAAAGGUUUACUGCCGAAGGAUCGGCCCGCGUCUGAUUAGCUAGUUGGUGAGGUAAUGGCUCACCAAGGCGACGAUCAGUAUCUGGUCUGAGAGGAUGAUCAGCCACACUGGGACUGAGACACGGCCCAGACUCCUACGGGAGGCAGCAGUGGGGAAUAUUGGACAAUGGGGGCAACCCUGAUCCAGCCAUGCCGCGUGAGGGAUGACGGCCUUCGGGUUGUAAACCUCUUUCACCGGUGAAGAUAAUGACGGUAACCGGAGAAGAAGCCCCGGCUAACUUCGUGCCAGCCGCCGCCGUAA